GUCCGCACCGUAAACGAUGAUCACUCGUUGUUGGCGAUAUACAGUCAGCGACUAAGCGAAAGCAUUAAGUGAUCCACCUGGGAAGUACGACCGCAGGGUUGAAACUCAAAGGAAUUGACGGGGGCCCGCACAAGCGGAGGAGCAUGUGGUUUAAUUCGAUGGUACGCGAGGAACCUUACCUGGGCUUGAAAGACAGUUGACCGUCUCUGAAAGGAGGCUUUCGCAAGACAACUGUCUAGGUGCUGCAUGGCUGUCGU
rnacentral:rRNA from 1 species